CGCCGGGGCUGGGCUGGGCUGGGCUGGGCUGGGGGACGGGGGCCUCCGCCUUC
rnacentral:miRNA from 1 species